rnacentral:piRNA from 1 species
UCAAAGCUCUGAAGAUUUGCC